rnacentral:tRNA from 1 species
CGGCGUGUCGCCCAGACGGUAGGGCAGCGACCUCAUAAGUCGUACCGGCGGCGGUUCGAGCCCGUCCACGCCGACCA